rnacentral:rRNA from 1 species
UACGUAGGUGGCAAGCGUUGUCCGGAUUUACUGGGCGUAAAGAGCGCGCAGGCGGUCGUUCAAGUCGCGUGUGAAAGCCCCCGGCUCAACUGGGGAGGGUCACGCGAUACUGAUCGACUCGAAGGCAGGAGAGGGUAGUGGAAUUCCCGGUGUAGCGGUGAAAUGCGUAGAGAUCGGGAAGAACAUCGGUGGCGAAAGCGCUCUACUGGACCGCAACUGACACUCAGGGACGAAAGCUAGGGGAGCGAAUGGG